UACGUAGGGACCGAGCGUUGUCCGGAAUCAUUGGGCGUAAAGGGCGCGUAGGCGGUCACGCACGUCCGUUGUGAAAUCGCUCGGCUCGACUGGGCGGGGUCAGCGGAUACGGUGUGGCUGGAGCAAGCUAGGGGGCAAUGGAAUUCCCGGUGUAGUGGUGGAAUGCGUAGAUAUCGGGAGGAACACCAGUGGCGAAGGCGGUUGCCUGGAGCUUUGCUGACGCUGAUGCGCGAAAGCGUGGGGAGCGAUCCGG
rnacentral:rRNA from 1 species